rnacentral:rRNA from 1 species
ACGGAGGUAGUUUACUACCAGACGUCGAGCGGCGAACGGGUGAGUAACGCGUAGGAAUCUACCUAUUAGAGGGGGAUAGCCCGGGGAAACUCGGAUUAAUACCGCAUACGCCCUACGGGGGAAAGCAGGGGAUCUUCGGACCUUGCGCUAAUAGAUGAGCCUGCGUCGGAUUAGCUAGUUGGUAGGGUAAAGGCCUACCAAGGCGACGAUCCGUAGCUGGUCUGAGAGGAUGAUCAGCCACACUGGAACUGAGACACGGUCCAGACUCCUACGGGAGGCAGCAGUGGGGAAUAUUGGACAAUGGGGGCAACCCUGAUCCAGCCAUGCCGCGUGUGUGAAGAAGGCCUUCGGGUUGUAAAGCACUUUCAGUAGGGAGGAAAGCCUGAUAGCUAAUAUUUAUCAGGAUUGACGUUACCUACAGAAGCAGCACCGGCUAACUUCGUGCCAGCAGCCGCGGUAAUACGAAGGGUGCAAGCGUUAAUCGGAAUUACUGGGCGUAAAGCGCGCGUAGGCGGUUUGAUAAGUGAGAUGUGAAAGCCCCGGGCUCAACCUGGGAACUGCAUCUCAUACUGUCAGGCUAGAGUACGGUAGAGGGGGGUAGAAUUCCACGUGUAGCGGUGAAAUGCGUAGAGAUGUGGAGGA